GGGGAUGACUGGUUUCGACUUGGAAUGGUUGUUCCAGGAGAAGCGGGCCGAGGACCCAGGGUCAACUCGUUAACGAUCCUUGGAAACCUAUAAGUGCCGAGAACACUCGCACUGACUUCGCUCUCGCUGCCUGAUCAGUGAUCGAAGGGUCAGCCCGGAUGUAGCCUUCCGUCCGGAUCCUGGCCUCGUUUAGAAGGCUUGCCGUACAGCUGUGGUCACGGGGGCUGUACGGGACGUUUCCGUGACUGGGCUUGUCUGCACCAUGUCGGUGUGAGUGCAGGAGCNNNNNNNNNNGAAUGUCUGGACGGUCUUUCAAGGACGCGGGUUCAAUUCCCGCCAUCUCCACUA
rnacentral:tmRNA from 1 species